rnacentral:rRNA from 1 species
UUGCACGCUGGCGGCAGGCCUCACACAUGCAAGUCGAACGGUAACAGGAAGAAGCUUGCUUCUUUGCUGACGAGUGGCGGACGGGUGAGUAAUGUCUGGGAAACUGCCUGAUGGAGGGGGAUAACUACUGGAAACGGUAGCUAAUACCGCAUAACGUCGCAAGACCAAAAAGGGGGACCUUCGGGCCUCUUGCCAUCGGAUGUGCCCAGAUGGGAUUAGCUAGUAGGUGGGGUAACGGCUCACCUAGGCGACGAUCCCUAGCUGGUCUGAGAGGAUGACCAGCCACACUGGAACUGAGACACGGUCCAGACUCCUACGGGAGGCAGCAGUGGGGAAUAUUGCACAAUGGGCGCAAGCCUGAUGCAGCCAUGCCGCGUGUAUGAAGAAGGCCUUCGGGUUGUAAAGUACUUUCAGCGGGGAGGAAGGGAGUAAAGUUAAUACCUUUGCUCAUUGACGUUACCCGCAGAAGAAGCACCGGCUAACUCCGUG